CCUACGGGCGGCAGCAGUGAGGAAUAUUGGUCAAUGGGCGCGAGCCUGAACCAGCCAAGUAGCGUGAAGGAUGAAUGCCCUACGGGUUGUAAACUUCUUUUAUAAAGGAAUAAAGUGAAGCACGUGUGCCUUUUUGUAUGUACUUUAUGGAUAAGGAUCGGCUCACUCCGCGCCCGCAGACGCGGUAAUACGGAGGAUCCGAGCGUUAUACGGAUUUAUUGGGUUUAAAGGGAGCGUAGAUGGGUUGUUAAGUCAGUUGUGAAAGUUUGCGGCUCAACCGGAAAAUUGCAAUUGAUACUGGCAGUCUUGAGUACAGUUGAGGUAGGCGGAAUUCGUGGUGUAGCGGUGAAAUGCUUAGAGAUCACGAAGAACUCCGAUUGCGAAGGCAGCUUACUAAACUGCCACUGACAUUGAUGCUCGAAAGUGUGGGUAGCAAACAGGAUUAGAUACCCUUGUAGUC
rnacentral:rRNA from 1 species